UGAGCCAAGAGCAUGUAGACGUCUUAUAGAUUCAAAGUUAUCCACCAAAAUUUUUUUCCUUGAGAAACCAGUGAGGGAAGGAAGCUUGAGUGUGUGGAACAGGUUGCUCUGGUAUUCACAUGGUGGAAAUACACACUCAAAAUAGGGUCAACAAAUUUUAUGGCCUAAAAUAAUUGGAAGUCUUCCAAAAAUCGGAAGGAUAGUCUUCAGGCAAGACUGGUUCUAAGGCUCGAAUAAUGUCACCAGGAUUCCCUCCAUCUCUUGCUCUUUUGUUGAUUUUAUUCCUAAGCAGAUUUUUAAAACUGCUCCCCGCAGCUUCAGGCUUGUCCUCUAGCUGUCAGUGUCACAGAACCGAGUCCCAUUAAUCUGUAGUGGGUCCAGUGCUUGCCUCUGACCCACCCAGGUAGUAGGUGUUCAGGAAUCUCUGAAUAGGGGAGAUAGGCUUGGUCAAAGGAAACCAAGGGUGCUGGAUCAGAAGUGAGAGGAUAAUUUCUUGGCAGUAAAAGGCAAUAGAUUUCUUUAUGACGUCUCUCAGUUUUGCAGCAGAAGGAACUGUGACAUGAUAUGAUUGAGAAUAAUUAUGUGGAGAAAGCACUGAGCUGAGACUCAAGAGUCCUGCAUUUAAAUGCCUCUUUGCUUAUCUGGCUCUGUGCUCUAAUCCCCAGUAGCUUCACUGACAUCCUGUUUAAUAGGAGGGACGAGGCUCGUUCUAUACGUGAUGUCACUACGCAGAGAGUGAGACAAGGGGCAUUACGCCAAGGGUACAUGGAGGAAUCAUCCACCCCUUCAUUUUUCAGAAGAAGAGGAUUUGUGCAUUGGCUGUCUUUCCAGAGUGGCCUUUCCUGCUUCAUGUGCCCG
rnacentral:lncRNA from 1 species